CUCUAUCUCGAUCUCUCUCUCUCUCUCUCUCUCUCGCUCCGUCUUUCUUCCUAACAAGCAGCGGAUCCUGCGUGCUUCAACAGCCCUUCAUCCGCGCCUCAACGGCAAGUCGCUCGCCCAGACCCUCCUAGAGCUGCCUAGGGCGCCUAGAGCCGCCUAGGGCCGCCUAGACCCUCCUAGAGCCGCCUAGGCAGCCAAGAACCGCCUAGAGCCGUCUAGGGCCGCCUAGGCCGCCUGGAACCGCCUAGGUCCGCCUAGAGCCGCCUAGGGCCGCCUAGGCCGCCUAGAACCCCCUAGGGCCGCCUAGAGCCGCCUAGGGUUCAGGGUUUUGUGUAUAGAACUCUAUGGUUGCAGGAUAGUCCGACCGAGGAUGUUUUUGAUUACUUUGAAGAUGUUAGGGAACAAGGUGGAAGAGUUUUUGUUCAUUGUUGUCAAGGGGUAUCUCGGUCCACCUCAUUGGUGAUUGCGUAUCUUAUGUGGAGAGAAGGACAGAGUUUUGAUGAUGCAUUUCAGUAUGUGGAAGCAGCAAGAGGCAUUGCUGAUCCGAAUAUGGGUUUUUCUUGUAAAUUUAGUCUGUUUGCUGUAAGGUUUCUGUUACUAUCUUCUAUAUCCAUUCUUACUAUUUUGCAUCUCAAGGGAUUUGACUUGUGAUUGUUGAGUUUUGACUUGUGAUUGUUGAGAUUUGACUUGUGAUUGCUGUAAGGUUUCUGUGAUUGUUGCUCAAAUCAAUUUUCUGUUUCUUCACAUGGCUUAAUUUGCAGUCCAACAUUUUCAGGCAUCAGGAUAAACUCCAGUGGCAAAAACCAUAGAGGAGGAGGAGGAUGAUGCUGGUCUCUAACUGCCUUGUUGCUAAUCAACUGGUUGUACAGUGCUGUAACACCCUGGUAACUCAUAAUCAGAUUUUUCAUGUAUAUUCAUUAAUACAAGGACCAAUUCCUGAAUGCCUUUUCGGGCCAAGCAAUUUAUAUUAAACGUUCCAUUCUUA